rnacentral:rRNA from 1 species
UACGUAGGGUGCGAGCGUUGUCCGGAAUUAUUGGGCGUAAAGAGCUCGUAGGCGGUUUGUUGCGUCGGCCGUGAAAACCUGCAGCUUAACUGUGGGCCUGCGGCCGAUACGGGCAGACUUGAGUUCGGUAGGGGAGACUGGAAUUCCUGGUGUAGCGGUGAAAUGCGCAGAUAUCAGGAGGAACACCGGUGGCGAAGGCGGGUCUCUGGGCCGAAACUGACGCUGAGGAGCGAAAGCGUGGGGAGCGAACAGG